rnacentral:rRNA from 1 species
CUGGCUCAGGAUGAACGCUGGCGGCGUGCCUAACACAUGCAAGUCGAACGGAAAUUGCAGAAGGAAGUUUUCGGAUGGAAUUUUGUAAUUUUAGUGGCGGACGGGUGAGUAACACGUGGGUAACCUGCCCUGUACCGGG